rnacentral:rRNA from 1 species
CUCCGAAUGCAUCUAGAUUAUGAGUUGAUCAUGGCUCAGAGUCAACGCUGGCGGUAUGGCCUAACACAUGCAAGUCGAACGGCAGCACAGCGAGAGCUUGCUCUCAUGGGUGGCGAGUGGCUGGACUGGGUGAGGAAUACAUCGGAAUCUACUUUGUUCGCUGGAGGGCAUAACAGAUAGGGGAAAACUUUACAGGCUAAGUACACNGCUAUACAGACCUUACGGGUGAAGAGACAGUGGAGNAUCUUCGGGACCCUUUGUCAGCAGCAUUGCAAUGAAGCCGAUUGUUCA